rnacentral:tRNA from 1 species
AGUUUAGUAGGUUAGUGAUAGACUGCUUGCUUUCAAAGUAAGAGGGGAUGAUUAGUUUGGUCCUAGGCUG